CGAAACCCGGUGAUCUAGCCAUGGGCAGGUUGAAGGUUGGGUAACACUAACUGGAGGACCGAACCGACUAAUGUUGAAAAAUUAGCGGAUGACUUGUGGCUGGGGGGGAAAGGCCAAUCAAACCGGGAGAUAGCUGGUUCUCCCCGAAAGCUAUUUAGGUAGCGCCUCGUGAAUUCAUCUCCGGGGGUAGAGCACUGUUUCGGCAAGGGGGUCAUCCCGACUUACCAACCCGAUGCAAACUGCGAAUACCGGAGAAUGUUAUCACGGGAGACACACGGCGGGUGCUAACGUCCGUCGUGAAGAGGGAAACAACCCAGACCGCCAGCUAAGGUCCCAAAGUCAUGGUUAAGUGGGAAACGAUGUGGGAAGGCCCAGACAGCCAGGAUGUUGGCUUAGAAGCAGCCAUCAUUUAAAGAAAGCGUAAUAGCUCACUGGUCGAGUCGGCCUGCGCGGAAGAUGUAACGGGGCUAAACCAUGCACCGAAGCUGCGGCAGCGACACUAUGUGUUGUUGGGUAGGGGAGCGUUCUGUAAGCCUGUGAAGGUGGCCUGUGAGGGUUGCUGGAGGUAUCAGAAGUGCGAAUGCUGACAUAAGUAACGAUAAAGCGGGUGAAAAGCCCGCUCGCCGGAAGACCAAGGGUUCCUGUCCAACGUUAAUCGGGGCAGGGUGAGUCGACCCCUAAGGCGAGGCCGAAAGGCGUAGUCGAUGGGAAACAGGUUAAUAUUCCUGUACUUGGUGUUACUGCGAAGGGGGGACGGAGAAGGCUAUGUUGGCCGGGCGACGGUUGUCCCGGUUUAAGCGUGUAGGCUGGUUUUCCAGGCAAAUCCGGAAAAUCAAGGCUGAGGCGUGAUGACGAGGCACUACGGUGCUGAAGCAACAAAUGCCCUGCUUCCAGGAAAAGCCUCUAAGCAUCAGGUAACAUCAAAUCGUACCCCAAACCGACACAGGUGGUCAGGUAGAGAAUACCAAGGCGCUUGAGAGAACUCGGGUGAAGGAACUAGGCAAAAUGGUGCCGUAACUUCGGGAGAAGGCACGCUGAUAUGUAGGUGAAGUCCCUCGCGGAUGGAGCUGAAAUCAGUCGAAGAUACCAGCUGGCUGCAACUGUUUAUUAAAAACACAGCACUGUGCAAACACGAAAGUGGACGUAUACGGUGUGACGCCUGCCCGGUGCCGGAAGGUUAAUUGAUGGGGUUAGCGCAAGCGAAGCUCUUGAUCGAAGCCCCGGUAAACGGCGGCCGUAACUAUAACGGUCCUAAGGUAGCGAAAUUCCUUGUCGGGUAAGUUCCGACCUGCACGAAUGGCGUAAUGAUGGCCAGGCUGUCUCCACCCGAGACUCAGUGAAAUUGAACUCGCUGUGAAGAUGCAGUGUACCCGCGGCAAGACGGAAAGACCCCGUGAACCUUUACUAUAGCUUGACACUGAACAUUGAGCCUUGAUGUGUAGGAUAGGUGGGAGGCUUUGAAGUGUGGACGCCAGUCUGCAUGGAGCCGACCUUGAAAUACCACCCUUUAAUGUUUGAUGUUCUAACGUUGGCCCGUUAUCCGGGUUGCGGACAGUGUCUGGUGGGUAGUUUGACUGGGGCGGUCUCCUCCUAAAGAGUAACGGAGGAGCACGAAGGUUGGCUAAUCCUGGUCGGACAUCAGGAGGUUAGUGCAAUGGCAUAAGCCAGCUUGACUGCGAGCGUGACGGCGCGAGCAGGUGCGAAAGCAGGUCAUAGUGAUCCGGUGGUUCUGAAUGGAAGGGCCAUCGCUCAACGGAUAAAAGGUACUCCGGGGAUAACAGGCUGAUACCGCCCAAGAGUUCAUAUCGACGGCGGUGUUUGGCACCUCGAUGUCGGCUCAUCACAUCCUGGGGCUGAAGUAGGUCCCAAGGGUAUGGCUGUUCGCCAUUUAAAGUGGUACGCGAGCUGGGUUUAGAACGUCGUGAGACAGUUCGGUCCCUAUCUGCCGUGGGCGCUGGAGAACUGAGGGGGGCUGCUCCUAGUACGAGAGGACCGGAGUGGACGCAUCACUGGUGUUCGGGUUGUCAUGCCAAUGGCACUGCCCGGUAGCUAAAUGCGGAAGAGAUAAGUGCUGAAAGCAUCUAAGCACGAAACUUGCCCCGAGAUGAGUUCU
rnacentral:rRNA from 1 species